GACGAACGCUGGCGGCGUGCCUAAUACAUGCAAGUAGAACGCUGAAGAGAGGAGCUUGCUCUUCUUGGAUGAGUUGCGAACGGGUGAGUAACGCGUAGGUAACCUGCCUUGUAGCGGGGGAUAACUAUUGGAAACGAUAGCUAAUACCGCAUAACAAUGGAUGACCCAUGUCAUUUAUUUGAAAGGGGCAAAUGCUCCACUACAAGAUGGACCUGCGUUGUAUUAGCUAGUAGGUGAGGUAACGGCUCACCUAGGCGACGAUACAUAGCCGACCUGAGAGGGUGAUCGGCCACACUGGGACUGAGACACGGCCCAGACUCCUACGGGAGGCAGCAGUAGGGAAUCUUCGGCAAUGGGCGCAACCCUGACCGAGCAACGCCGCGUGAGUGAAGAAGGUUUUCGGAUCGUAAAGCUCUGUUGUAAGUCAAGAACGAGUGUGAGAGUGGAAAGUUCACACUGUGACGGUAGCUUACCAGAAAGGGACGGCUAACUACGUG
rnacentral:rRNA from 1 species